AAUUUGCAAGGUGCUGCAUGGUUGUCGUCAGCUCGUGCCGUGAGGUGUCAGGUUAAGUCCUAUAACGAGCGCAACCCCUGUCGUCAGUUGCCAACAGAUAAUGCUGGGGACUCUGGCGAGACUGCCGGUGCAAACCGCGAGGAAGGUGGGGAUGACGUCAAAUCAUCACGGCCCUUACGUCCUGGGCUACACACGUGCUACAAUGGCCGGUACAGAGAGCAGCCAUCCGGCAACGGAGAGCGAAUCUAUAAAACCGGUCACAGUUCGGAUCGGGGUCUGCAACUCGACCCCGUGAAGCUGGAAUCGCUAGUAAUCGGAUAUCAGCCAUGAUCCGGUGAAUACGUUCCCGGGCCUUGUACACACCGCCCGUCAAGCCAUGGAAGCCGGGAGUGCCUGAAGUCCGUCACCGUAAGGAGCGGCCUAGGGCAAGAUCGGUAACUAGGGCUAAGUCGUAACAAGGUAGCCGUACCGGAAGGUGCGGCUGGAACACCUCCUU
rnacentral:rRNA from 14 species